AGACCCGAAACCCGGUGAUCUAGCCAUGGGCAGGUUGAAGGUUGGGUAACACUAACUGGAGGACCGAACCGACUAAUGUUGAAAAAUUAGCGGAUGACUUGUGGCUGGGGGUGAAAGGCCAAUCAAACCGGGAGAUAGCUGGUUCUCCCCGAAAGCUAUUUAGGUAGCGCCUCGUGAAUUCAUCUCCGGGGGUAGAGCACUGUUUCGGCAAGGGGGUCAUCCCGACUUACCAACCCGAUGCAAACUGCGAAUACCGGAGAAUGUUAUCACGGGAGACACACGGCGGGUGCUAACGUCCGUCGUGAAGAGGGAAACAACCCAGACCGCCAGCUAAGGUCCCAAAGUCAUGGUUAAGUGGGAAACGAUGUGGGAAGGCCCAGACAGCCAGGAUGUUGGCUUAGAAGCAGCCAUCAUUUAAAGAAAGCGUAAUAGCUCACUGGUCGAGUCGGCCUGCGCGGAAGAUGUAACGGGGCUAAACCAUGCACCGAAGCUGCGGCAGCGACGCUUAUGCGUUGUUGGGUAGGGGAGCGUUCUGUAAGCCUGCGAAGGUGUGCUGUGAGGCAUGCUGGAGGUAUCAGAAGUGCGAAUGCUGACAUAAGUAACGAUAAAGCGGGUGAAAAGCCCGCUCGCCGGAAGACCAAGGGUUCCUGUCCAACGUUAAUCGGGGCAGGGUGAGUCGACCCCUAAGGCGAGGCCGAAAGGCGUAGUCGAUGGGAAACAGGUUAAUAUUCCUGUACUUGGUGUUACUGCGAAGGGGGGACGGAGAAGGCUAUGUUGGCCGGGCGACGGUUGUCCCGGUUUAAGCGUGUAGGCUGGUUUUCCAGGCAAAUCCGGAAAAUCAAGGCUGAGGCGUGAUGACGAGGCACUACGGUGCUGAAGCAACAAAUGCCCUGCUUCCAGGAAAAGCCUCUAAGCAUCAGGUAACAUCAAAUCGUACCCCAAACCGACACAGGUGGUCAGGUAGAGAAUACCAAGGCGCUUGAGAGAACUCGGGUGAAGGAACUAGGCAAAAUGGUGCCGUAACUUCGGGAGAAGG
rnacentral:rRNA from 1 species